AAUCUAAAUCAGAUUCAUCUUCAGCAGUGUUUUGCAAGAUAUGAUUUGCAAUAUCUUGCAAAACACUGCUGAAGAUGAAUCUGAUUUAGAUUCAGGCC